UUGGUGGAGCGUGAUGGUCGCGGCCCAUCGCAGGAUGGGUCGAGGAAAGUCCGAGCUCCGCAGGGCAGAUUGCCAGGUAACGCCUGGGCGUCGAAAGGCGACGGACAGGGCCACAGAAAACAAACCGCCCGAAAGGGUAAGGGUGAAAUGGUGGGGUAAGAGCCCACCGCGCGGCUGGCAACAGACGUGGCAGGGUAACCCCCAAUUGGAGCAAGGCCAAAUAGGCGGUGACGGUUCGGCCCGGACCACUUGAACCGCGGGUAGGCCGCUCGAGGCGGCAGGCGACUGUCGUCCCAGAUAGAUGACCAUCCGCCCGCUCACGCGUGCGAACAGAACUCGGCUUACGGCUCCGCCAGCUCU
rnacentral:RNase_P_RNA from 1 species